GAGGAGCAUGUUUUACUAAGGAAUACAUAUAGGAUUCCCAUCAAUGUUGAGGAUCACUUAAGUAAUAUGCAAGCCAAUCAAAUGUAUCGGGAUAUUCAAUGUUGGAAGUUUCAUGAUGGAAACACAUAAUUUGGAAAAUCGGAAAGGGUAUGAGCAGAUUGCCAAGGGUAGCAAUGUCGCAUUGAUAAACAAUCAACAAUCAGUCAACCUCAAGGGCAUAAUUUCAAGAUCUUCAUUGCACAACUACCUAUGGGAUGGUGAUGAAGA
rnacentral:lncRNA from 1 species